AUAGACAGGGUUAUAGAUAGGGGAUAGACAGGGUUAUAGACAGGGUUAUAGACAGGGGAUAGACAGGGUUAUAGACAGGGGAUAGACAGGGUUAUAGACAGGGUUAUAGACAGGGUUAUAGACAGGGAUAUAGACAAGGAUAGACAGGGGAUAGACAGGGUUAUAGACAGGGAUAGACAGGGAUAGACAGAUGGUAGACCGUGGAUAGACAGGGGACAGACAGGGGAUAGACAGGGAUAGAGAGGGGAUAGACAGGGGAUAGACAGGGUUAUAGACAGGGGAUAGACAGGGUUAUAGACAGGGGAUAUACAGGGUUAUAGACAGGGAUAUAGACAGGGUUAUAGACAGGGUUAUAGACAGGGGAUAGACAGGGAUAGACAGGGAAUAGACAGGGGAUAGACAGGGGAUAGACAGGGUUAUAGAUAGGGGAUAGACAGGGAUAGACAGAUGGUAGACAGGGGAUAGACAGGGGACAGACAGUGGAUAGACAGGGAUAGACAGGGGAUAGACAGG
ensembl:lncRNA